AACGAACGCUGGCGGCAGGCUUGACACAUGCAAGUCGAGCGCGUGGCAACACGAGCGGCAGACGGGUGAGUAACACGUGGGAACAUACCCUUUUCUACGGAAUAACGCAGGGAAACUUGUGCUAAUACCGUAUACGCCCUUAGGGGGAAAGAUUUAUCGGAGAAGGAUUGGCCCGCGUUGGAUCAGCUAGUUGGUGGGGUAAAGGCCUACCAAGGCGACGAUCCAUAGCUGGUCUGAGAGGAUGAUCAGCCACAUUGGGACUGAGACACGGCCCAAACUCCUACGGGAGGCAGCAGUGGGGAAUAUUGGACAAUGGGCGCAAGCCUGAUCCAGCCAUGCCGCGUGAGUGAUGAAGGCCUUAGGGUUGUAAAGCUCUUUCACCGGAGAAGAUAAUGACGGUAUCCGGAGAAGAAGCCCCGGCUAACUUCGUGCCAGCCGCCGCCGUAA
rnacentral:rRNA from 1 species